CCUACGGGAGGCAGCAGUGGGGAAUAUUGGGCAAUGGAGGAAACUCUGACCCAGCAACGCCGCGUGAAUGAUGAAGGUCUUCGGAUUGUAAAGUUCUUUUCUAAGGGAAGAAGAAAGUGACGGUACCUUAGGAAUAAGCCUCGGCUAACUACGUGCCAGCAGCCGCGGUAAUACGUAGGAGGCAAGCGUUAUCCGGAAUGACUGGGCGGAAAGGGAGCGUAGGUGGUUUGACAAGUUGUUAGCGUAACUCCGAGGCUUAACCUCGGCACGACUACCAAAACUGUUGGACUCGAGUGCAGGAGGGGCAAAUGGAAUGCCUAGGGUAGCGGGGGAAUGCGUAGAUAUUAGGAGGAACACCAGUGGCGAAGGCGAUUUGCUGGACUGUAACUGACACUGAGGCACGAAAGCGUGGGGAGCAAACAGGAUUAGAUACCCUGGUAGUC
rnacentral:rRNA from 1 species